GACGAACGCUGGCGGCGUGCUUAACACAUGCAAGUCGAACGGAAAGGCCCUGCUUUUGUGGGGUGCUCGAGUGGCGAACGGGUGAGUAACACGUGAGUAACCUGCCCUUUACUUUGGGAUAACUUCAGGAAACUGGGGCUAAUACCGGAUAGGAGCUCCUGCUGCAUGGGGGGGGUUGGAAAGUUUCGGCGGUUGGGGAUGGACUCGCGGCUUAUCAGCUUGUUGGUUGGGGAGUGGCUUACCAAGGCUUUGACGGGUAGCCGGCAUGAGAGGGUGACCGGCCACAUUGGGACUGCGGUACGGCCCAGACUCCUACGGGAGGCAGCAGUCGGGAAUAUUGCACAAUGGGCGGAAGCCUGAUGCAGCAACGCCGCGUGCGGGAUGACGGCCUUCGGGUUGUAAACCGCUUUAGCCUGUGACGAAGCGUGAGUGACGGUAAUGGGUAAAGAAGCACCGGCUAACUACGUG
rnacentral:rRNA from 1 species